CCCUUAGAUGUCCUGGGCCGCACGCGUGCUACACUGAUGCAUACAGCGAGUACUCCCAGCUCCGAGAGGCUGCUGGUAAUCAGCAAUAUGCAUCGUGAUGGGGAUAGAUCUUUGGAAUUAUAGAUCUUGAACGAGGAAUUCCUAGUAAUCGCAGGUCAUCACCCUGCGUUGACUAAGUCCCUGCCCUUUGUACACACCGCCCGUCGCUCCUACCGAUUUCGAGUGGUCCGGUGAAUCAUUCGGACCGCGGCCCCUAGGCAUGCGGAAAGUCUAGUAAACCAUAUCACUUAGAGGAAGGAGAAGUCGUAACA
rnacentral:rRNA from 1 species